rnacentral:rRNA from 1 species
UACGUAGGGUGCAAGCGUUGUCCGGAAUUAUUGGGCGUAAAGAGCUCGUAGGCGGUUUGUCACGUCUGCUGUGAAAAUCCAAGGCUCAACCUUGGACUUGCAGUGGGUACGGGCAGGCUAGAGUGCGGUAGGGGAGAUGGGAAUUCCUGGUGUAGCGGUGGAAUGCGCAGAUAUCAGGAGGAACACCAAUGGCGAAGGCACAUCUCUGGGCCGUAACUGACGCUGAGGAGCGAAAGCGUGGGGAGCGAACAGGAUUAGAUACCCUGGUAGUCCACGCCGUAAACGGUGGGUGCUAGCUGUGGGCCACAUUCCACGUGGUCCGUGACGAAGUUAACACAUUAAGCACCCCGCCUGGGGAGUACGGCCGCAAGGCUAAAACUCAAAGGAAUUGACGGGGGCCCGCACAAGCGGCGGAGCAUGCGGAUUAAUUCGAUGCAACGCGAAGAACCUUACCAAGGCUUGACAUAUAGAGGAAAAGUGCAGAGAUGCACUCCCCGCAAGGUCUCUAUACAGGUGGUGCAUGGUUGUCGUCAGCUCGUGUCGUGAGAUGUUGGGUUAAGUCCCGCAACGAGCGCAACCCUCGUCCUAUGUUGCCAGCACGUUAUGGUGGGAACUCAUGGGAUACUGCCGGGGUCAACUCGGAGGAAGGUGGGGAUGACGUCAAAUCAUCAUGCCCCUUAUGUCUUGGGCUUCACGCAUGCUACAAUGGCCGGUACAGAGGGCAGCAAUACCGUAAGGUGGAGCGAAUCCCAAAAAGCCGGUCUCAGUUCGGAUUGAGGUCUGCAACUCGACCUCAUGAAGUCGGAGUCGCUAGUAAUCGUAGAUCAGCAACGCUACGGUGAAUACGUUCCCGGGCCU